UGGGCUGCGUUUCAUGGAGAGUCCUAAGUCUUAAGUUUGUCUUAAGAUAAAAAUUGUGACAAUUUUGCGUUUCAAAGAAAGUCUUAAAAAAGAAUGAUAGAUAAUGGUCUAACUAAGAAAAUAAAUCCGAACACCAAUAUCUUUAAUUCAGUCAUUAACGCUGUACAGACGUUUAAAGAGUUGUUUACAUGACGUCACAAUGUAGCGCCAAAUAUCGCGUGCAAAACAAGACGCAUCUAUAAAUAAUAAUAUUACUGCGCGCUGUACAAUUGCAGUUGCGUAGCAAGCAAGGGGGUUCGUAACCAUUUUUUUACUAUGAAAUUAAAUAAAACGGUUAUUUUAUCGUUUUUCGUGAAAUAUGGUAUAUAUUUUCACUCAACAUGAUAAGAGGGCAAUACAUUACUUUUUAUACUUGCUAUAAUCAAUUACAUAGUAAAUCCAAUCCGGGAUUAUGCGCGUGCCAUUGUAUUUUGUAACUUUUUUCA